CCCUUAGAUGUUCUGGGCCGCACGCGCGCUACAAUGGUCUUCGCAAACAGAUGCAUUCUCGAAGGAGAAUGCCAAUCUUGGAAUCUAUGCCUUGGUCGGGACAGUUGCUUGCAAUUUUUCGACUCGAACCAGGAAUUCCUUGUAAUCGUGAUUCAUCACAUCACGAUGAAUACGUCCCUGCCCUUUGUACACACCGCCCGUCGCUCCUACCGAUCGAAGAGUUAGGUGAAUUGUUUUGAUCGAUAAGAUUUGACUAUGGUCAACUCUCGUUGUGAAAUUCUGUGAAUCUGACUGUUUAGAGGAAGGAAAAGUCGUAACA
rnacentral:rRNA from 1 species